UACGAAGGGGGCGAGCGUUGUUCGGAAUUACUGGGCGUAAAGGGCGCGUAGGCGGCGACUCAAGUUAGAUGUGAAAGUCCUGGGCUUAACCUGGGGACUGCAUUUGAUACUGGGUUGCUUGAAUUCGGGAGAGGAUAGCGGAAUUCCCAGUGUAGAGGUGAAAUUCGUAGAUAUUGGGAAGAGCACCGGUGGCGAAGGCGGCUAUCUGGACCGACAUUGACGCUGAGGCGCGAAAGCGUGGGGAGCAAACAGG
rnacentral:rRNA from 1 species